UACGAAGGGGGCUAGCGUUGCUCGGAAUCACUGGGCGUAAAGCGCACGUAGGCGGACUCUUAAGUCGGUGGUGAAAUCCUGGAGCUCAACUCCAGAACUGCCUUCGAUACCUGAGAGUCUUGAGUCCGGGAGAGGUGAGUGGAACUGCGAGUGUAGAGGUGAAAUUCGUAGAUAUUCGCAAGAACACCAGUGGCGAAGGCGGCUCCACUGGCCGGU
rnacentral:rRNA from 1 species